rnacentral:rRNA from 1 species
GGGGAAUCUUGCGCAAUGGGCGAAAGCCUGACGCAGCGAUGCCGCGUGAGUGAGGAAGGCCUUCGGGUUGUAAAGCUCUGUCGGGGUGGAAAAAUAGCUUAGGGUCUAAUAGGCCUUGAGAAUGAUGGUACACCUAAAGGAAGCACCGGCUAACUUCGUGCCAGCAGCCGCGGUAAUACGAAGGGUGCAAGCGUUGUUCGGAUUUAUUGGGCGUAAAGCGCGCGCAGGCGGAUGUUUAAGUCAGGUGUGAAAUACCCGAGCACAACUUGGGGGGUGCGCCUGAAACUGGAGAUCUAGAAUAGUGUAGGGGGAAGGAGAAUUUCGCAUGUAGGGGUAAAAUCCGUAGAGAUGCGAAGGAAUACCGGAGGCAAAAGCGCCUUCCUGGUCACUAAUUGACGCUGAGGCGCGAAAGCGUGGGGAGCAAAC